GUUUGUCUUCCCGGCACUUUGAGUGGGUUUUCCUUCAGUAACAGCGCUGUGGCAGAGGCUAAAUAUUCUCUGGUUUAGGGUCGUGGGGAGGCGGCUUUAAGACCCUGUAGAAUUCUUCACCGGCUGGUCCGUUCCGUUUCACUGACCGCGUUUUGGAUUUAGCCCAAUCAGUGUCGCUAAAUGCAAACCACGUGAUUACUGUUCAUCCAGCCACACACAACAUGGAAGCCGCAUGAGGGAACACGUGAUCAACCAGGCAAGUCGUCAUUAUUGUUUGGAAUGCAGGGUAAGAUUCAGCACAGGUUCCAGCACUAUCAAGGGCGAUCGUGGAAGCAGCCUUGUUCGUGUACUGACUGUGUCUGCACUUUUUAAAAACUGACGCAAAGCCAGAAGACUUCACAAAAUGGAUGAAGAUGGGGAUCUCAACUGUUGUUGAAGAUGACCUUGCCACCAUCCAUUCGAACUUAAAUGUAAGGUGUCUGUAUGUCGUACUGGAUAUUGUGCAAGACCUUUCUACAGCUGUUGCUCUCCGAUUUUAUUAAGUUGUUGUGUGGUUCGGAUGGUCCACUGCCGCGACCCCUCGGAGGGAGCAGCUGAGGUGGUGGACACUUACCUUACAUGCUGAGAUGAUGUUUGGGUUACACCUAGUAAACUCAGUCAGUACCAGUCAAAAAUGUGUUUUGCCACAACAUGGUUGUAGAAUUAAAAAAUGAAGAAUUCUAUAUUUACAUUUACAUCAUUUUUAGGGUUGAGGGCCUUGUUCAAGGGCCCAACAGUGCUGUGUCCAUCACUUCAUUUUUUACAGUGUCAAAUCUUGUCUGAUGAUGUCUCUUGUCGGGCCACUUUAUCUUUGUAAAUAUGUUGCCGUAAAUUCAAUUAGUAAAGAUACUUUAUUAUUAUUAUUUUAUUCUGUUGCACAUUACUCCCAUUUAUAUUCCGCAAGAAUUCUACCAUGAAAUCUCAGUGCCCAUAAAUUAUGCGAUUUGCAUCUAUAUACAAUUCUCCAUCUUUAAAUUCUACAACCAUUUUUUUUUCUAAUUUCUGAUUCUGUCUAACGAGACAGUGAAUGUCUUUUGAAAUGAUCAAAUGCCUGCUUGUUGUUGACAGGAUUUAACUAUAAAUUCUCCCACUAUUUUAGUACGUCAUUAUUGAAGACGUGUCCACCAUUCAUUUAAUGCAGUGUUCAGUUUGUUUUUAAUCCUGCCUGUUGCACUUUGGUUUUUCUCAUCAUUUCUUUUUCUAGAAAUGAGUCUUGUGGGGUAAAAAGGCAAACCCAGACUGUUUAACAUUAAAUUGAAUGUAUUUUAUUUAUAACAGUAAGAAGAAAAGAAAUAACACACUUUUCAAUUCUUGCAUGUUUUCAAAUGGCGAGGGGUCUCCUGCCUUCUAUGGCUGUAGUGCAAGCUUCUAAAUAAGGAAAGAUCAAAUAAUUUAUCUGUCUGUAGCCUGUUUAGUUCCGCGCCUUGUGCAAAAGGCCGCUCUGUCUGACGAGUCCCAAUCAGUGAGAAAUGCGCUUUCUGUAUGUUGGAAGAACCCAUAUUAGACAGAUUUAAGGAAAGGAGGGGUUUUCUUCCGCGUCUCAUACACAUCACUAUUUUAGUAGGCUAACCUGUAAUAUUUCUCUCCCAUAGAUUUUACUCAACUUUUUCUUAUCGGUUUAAUACUAAACAGGUCUUUUAUCUUCCAAAUACGGAAUUCUGUAGUUACGGGACAGUUAGCAACCCUAGGUAUGAUUUUAAGCUGUCCAAUAUUGCGUUGUAUUUGCUGAACCCUGUGAUCUUGCAUGACAAUGUACGUCCGCACACUGUGUUUAAGCAUCCUCCCUCUAGUCCAGAUCCCGCUCCAUCAGAUUUUUACCUGUUCGAUCCUCUGAAAGCAGCUCUAUGAGGAUGAAUAUUUACUUCUGAUCGUUGGCUGGUUUAAUUUAUAUUAUAAUGAAGAAAAAUAGGCUCCUGGCUCAGUUAUAUUAACAGAUCCAGUGACUUUCAAAGAGCACUUGCUUUAAAGAUUUACAGUAAAAUGACUAUUUUGUUUGUGUGUACAAGUUAGCAUUUAUACUAAUAAACACUGAUGGUUUAGUCAAAAUUAUAAUUACAA